CGGGGCGUAGCGCAGUCUGGCUUAGCGCGCGUGGUUUGGGACCACGAGGUCAGAGGUUCAAAUCCUCUCGCCCCGACCA
rnacentral:tRNA from 1 species